rnacentral:rRNA from 1 species
ACUGAUGUAUUCAACGAGUCUAUAGCCUUGGUUGACAAAUCUGGGUAAUCUUUGAAAUUUUAUCAUGAUGGAGAUAGAUCAUUGCAAUUGUUGGUGUCUUAU